AGAGUUUGAUCCUGGCUCAGGAUGAACGCUGGCGGCGUGCUUAACACAUGCAAGUCGAACGGAGUUUUAACGGAAGUUUCGGAUGGAAGUUAGAACUUAGUGGCGGACGGGUGAGUAACGCGUGGGUAACCUGCCUCAGUACAGGGGGAUAACAGUUAGAAAUGACUGCUAACACCGCAUAAUAUAGCGAAACCGCAUGAUUUUGCUAUCAAAUAUUUAUAGGUAUGAGAUGGGCCCGCGUCUGAUUAGCUAGUUGGUGGGGUAAAAGCCUACCAAGGCGACGAUCAGUAGCCGGCUUGAGAGAGUGACCGGCCACAUUGGGACUGAGACACGGCCCAAACUCCUACGGGAGGCAGCAGUGGGGAAUAUUGGACAAUGGGGGAAACCCUGAUCCAGCGACGCCCGCGUGAGUGAAGAAGUAUUUCGGUAUGUAAAGCUCUAUCAGCAGGGAAGAUAAUGACAGUACCUGACUAAGAAGCCCCGGCUAACUACGUGCCAGCAGCUGC
rnacentral:rRNA from 1 species